GAUCCUGGCUCAGGAUGAACGCUAGCUACAGGCUUAACACAUGCAAGUCGAGGGGCAGCAUGAACUUAGCUUGCUAAGUUUGAUGGCGACCGGCGCACGGGUGAGUAACACGUAUCCAACCUUCCGUUUACUCGGGGAUAGCCUUUCGAAAGAAAGAUUAAUACCUGAUAGUAUGGUGAGAUUGCAUGAUAGCACCAUUAAAGAUUUAUUGGUAAACGAUGGGGAUGCGUUCCAUUAGGUAGUAGGG
rnacentral:rRNA from 1 species